UUAUCCCUGGGAUGUUGGUGAUUGGUAGAGAGGUCCCUGAGCCAACACCAACGAUUUUGGGGGCUGCCUCUUAUUCUGGUGUGCACUUCGCGUAAGUGAAGUGCCUAAAGGAAUAAUGCGGCACCCACCUAGUAGACUCGGUUCAAGACCGACUGCCAACACGGCAUCCUGGGGAUUCU
rnacentral:other from 1 species